GCCUUCGUAGUGUAGUGGUCAGCACGCUCGACGCGCAACCGAGAGGUCCUUGGUUCGACUCCCGGCGAAGGCG
rnacentral:tRNA from 1 species